rnacentral:rRNA from 1 species
AUUGAACGCUGGCGGCAGGCCUAACACAUGCAAGUCGAACGAGUGGCGGACGGGUGAGUAAUGUCUGGGAAACUGCCUGAUGGAGGGGGAUAACUACUGGAAACGGUAGCUAAUACCGCAUACCAUCGGAUGUGCCCAGAUGGGAUUAACUAGUAGGUGGGGUAACGGCUCACCUAGGCGACGAUCCCUAGCUGGUCUGAGAGGAUGACAAGCCACACUGGAACGGAGACACGGUACAGACGCCUACGGGAGGGAGCAGUGGGGAAUAGGGCACAAUGGGCGCAAGAAUAAUGCAGCCAUGCCGCGUGUAUGAAGAAGGCCGUCGGGUUGUAAAGGACUUUCAGCGGGGAGGCGUUACCCGCAGAAGAAGCACCGGCUAACUCCGUGCCAGCAGACGCGGUAAUUC